rnacentral:rRNA from 1 species
AGUGAACGCUGGCGGUAGGCCUAACACAUGCAAGUCGAACGGCAGCACAGUAAGAGCUUGCUCUUACGGGUGGCGAGUGGCGGACGGGUGAGGAGUACAUCGGAAUCUUCUUUUUCGUGGGGGAUAACGUAGGGAAACUUACGCUAAUACCGCAUACGACCUACGGGUGAAAGCAGGGGAUCUUCGGACCUUGCGCGAUUGAAUGAGCCGAUGUCGGAUUAGCUAGUUGGCGGGGUAAAGGCCCACCAAGGCGACGAUCCGUAGCUGGUCUGAGAGGAUGAUCAGCCACACUGGAACUGAGACACGGUCCAGACUCCUACGGGAGGCAGCAGUGGGGAAUAUUGGACAAUGGGCGCAAGCCUGAUCCAGCCAUACCGCGUGGGUGAAGAAGGCCUUCGGGUUGUAAAGCCCUUUUGUUGGGAAAGAAAAGCAGCAGGUUAAUACCCCGCUGUUCUGACGGUACCCAAAGAAUAAGCACCGGCUAACUUCGUG